AGAAAUCUAAGAUUUUCAUCUUAAUAGUAUCCAUGAAUUUAGCAAUACCUUUAUCUUCUCCAAUACAAGAUCAUAACACUCAAAAAGUUUUAAUUAGACAAAAACGAGGUUGUUUUCCACAUCUACUUUCUAAUGACAAUAUUCGCUGCUCUAUGCACUGCAAAAUACAUGGAAAAAAAGGUGGGUCCUGUCAAAGAGGAAUUUGUGUUUGCAAGCAGAAGAAGACAUAAAAAUAAUU